rnacentral:lncRNA from 1 species
CCCAAGUCUUUUUUUUUUUCCCAAACCCUCGACUCUUCUAAAAGCACACAGCUGAAAGCGAUUGAAAGAAGUCAGAGCACCACUUGUUGAAGGGGGUGUGGGUUAUUCACCUCUGAAGUCUUCUUUCCCAAGUUGGCACUGCCAUUUGUGAAAAAGGAGACUCCCUAUCAAUAUACUUAAGUACUGACUGGGUUAAAUACAGGAAAUCUAGACCUUCUACAAGUUUAAACUUAUGGAAUGAUUGCCACACCUCCUAAACCAUGAGCGGUUAAUAAUUGUGGUGUAAUAGCAUUUUGGAAACUCUGUCUACUGAGCUGUGGAGAGACAGCAGGCAGUUGCUUGGAAGACAUUUCCAAAGGUUCCGCUACUGGGCCGGACCAUUUAGCAUCUGAGGCACCAAGGAAAACACAAAGGAUUGUCGGUGUCAGGUCUGAGGCAGAAACAAGCUUUGAAAUACGGGAGAGGAUAACAAAGCAAAGCCUCAACAGAUGCCUGAUUUUGACUUGGGAACUGCUUUCCUGACCUCUACCACGUUCAACGCUGAUCUUGCUGGUGGCGUUGGCCUGAACCUGGACUUGGACUGACUUUUUCCACCAGGUGAGUCAUCCUGUAUCUAAAUUAACUCUCCUCCAGACCCUCCCAUGGCUCAUUCUACUUAUCCUUUUUCAUGAAGUUUCUCCACUAACAACCGAUGCUGCC